GACGAACGCUGGCGGCGUGCUUAACACAUGCAAGUCGAACGGAAAGGCCCUGCUUUUGUGGGGUGCUCGAGUGGCGAACGGGUGAGUAACACGUGAGUAACCUGCCCUUGACUUUGGGAUAACUUCAGGAAACUGGGGCUAAUACCGGAUAGGAGCUCUUGCUGCAUGGUGGGGGUUGGAAAGUUUCGGCGGUUGGGGAUGGACUCGCGGCUUAUCAGCCUGUUGGGGGGGUAGUGGCUGACCAAGGGUUCGACGGGUAGCCCGCCUGAGAGGGUGACCGGCGACAUUGGGACUGAGAUACGGACCAGACUCCUACGGGAGGCAGCAGUGGGGAAUAUUACACAAUGGGCGGGAGCCUGAGGCAGCAACGCCGGGUGCGGGAUAACGGCCUUCGGGUUGUAAACCGCUUUCGCCUGUGACGAGGCGUGAGUGACGGUAAUGGGUAAAGAAGCACCGGCUAACUACGUG
rnacentral:rRNA from 1 species